rnacentral:rRNA from 1 species
UACGUAGGUGGCAAGCGUUGUCCGGAUUUACUGGGCGUAAAGAGCGCGCAGGCGGUCGUUCAAGUCGCGUGUGAAAGCCCCCGGCUCAACUGGGGAGGGUCACGCGAUACUGAUCGACUCGAAGGCAGGAGAGGGAAGUGGAAUUCCCGGUGUAGUGGUGAAAUGCGUAGAUAUCGGGAGGAACACCAGUGGCGAAGGCGACUUCCUGGCCUGUUCUUGACGCUGAGGCGCGAAAGCUAGGGGAGCAAAGCGGGGAU